rnacentral:rRNA from 1 species
CCAGACUCCUACGGGAGGCAGCAGUGAGGAAUAUUGGUCAAUGGGCGAGAUCCUGAACCAGCCAAGUCGCGUGAGGGAAUAAGGCCCUACGGGUCGUAAACCUCUUUUGCCGGGGAGCAAGGGCCGGGACGAGUCCCGGUCCGGAGAGUACCCGGAGAAAAAGCAUCGGCUAACUCCGUGCCAGCAGCCGCGGUAAUACGGAGGAUGCGAGCGUUAUCCGGAUUUAUUGGGUUAAAAGGGUGCGUAGGCGGUCCGUUAAUUCAGCGGUAAAAUUGCGGGGCUCAACCCCGUCGAGCCGUUGAAACUGGCAGACUUGAGUUGGCGAGAAGUACGCGGAAUGCGCGGUGUAGCGGUGAAAUGCAUAGAUAUCGCGCAGAACUCCGAUUGCGAAGGCAGCGUACCGGCGCCAGACUGACGCUGAGGCACGAAAGCGUGGGGAUCGAACAGGAUUAGAUACCCCUGUACC